rnacentral:lncRNA from 1 species
UUUGUUCUAAUGCAUCGGCAAAUGGAAUAUUGAUUUGAAGUUGUUUGAAUAUGUCCAUGAAUCGUGCAUAAUGCCUAGCAUUGUCCUUCUUCGAUGGAGCAUGUGGAUAAGGUAGAUGUUGGGUUGGAAUGACGCUCACACCUUUCUCUCAUUUCUUCUUCUUUCUUGGUUCAACAUCCUUUUUCACCUCCAAUUCAAGUUGUUCC